rnacentral:rRNA from 1 species
GACGAACCGAGCGAACGUUGUUCGGAAUCACUGGGCUUAAAGGGCGCGUAGGCGGCGGUUCAAGUCGGGGGUGAAAGCCUGUGGCUCAACCACAGAAUGGCCUUCGAUACUGGACGGCUCGAGACCGGAAGAGGUCAGUGGAACUGCGAGUGUAGAGGUGAAAUUCGUAGAUAUUCGCAAGAACACCAGUGGCGAAGGCGGCUGACUGGCCCGGUACUGACGCUGAGGCGCGAAAGCGUGGGUAGCAAACGAG